rnacentral:lncRNA from 1 species
CAUCUGUGAACCCAAAUGCUUCCAUGGGUUCACCUCUCACUGGAAGUUGCCACCCCCUUGGUGGCAUUGCUGCAGCAAUACCCAAGUUGUCCUUCCAUUUCCUUUCUGGGGUAUCUUUUGGGGACUCUGCCAGUGUGGAGUGUUGGCAUCAUCUAGAAGGUUGCCCCAUCAAUCCUCACUUUCCAACCAAAGGCUUUUGGACACAAACAUCAAAGAGGGCAGUGUGUCAGGUUGGUGGGAAGGUGCCAGUGAUAUAGAAGCUGGUGCUGAUCAGCGUGUGUUUUAUCUAUUUCAGCUUUCUGUAAAAGGAGGGGCAUUUUAUUCGAGCCGGGCAGAAAUCUGGCAGUUUCCUGGUUGUGAAAUUCUAUUGACAAAGGUGUUAAGUGAAGGGCAGGGUAACGUGGUCUGCUAGGCUCCUGUGCCUUCAUCUCUGUGACCUGGGCAUGUGUCAGGCCUAGACUGAACCAACAAGAAUGACUUUGAUUUGAUGACCGUUAAAGGUCAGGCACAUAAUGGGAUCAGAUGUGUCAGUGGAGGUGAAGUACAUAGCAUAAUAGAUUGAUGGUAAUUAAGUAGUCGUGUUUAAUAAGAAUCAUCAGAGUUGGAGGCAGUGUUGGAAUGAGCAGCUUGGGAAAAGAACAAGAAGGCAUGAAGAAAGGAGGUGGGCUGUAUGUCAAGGAAUGAUCUUUUUGUUACAGCACAGGUAAAGGCCAGAGGAACUGUAUGAGUGUGUGUGCGCACAUGUGCUCGUGAGCCCACUUGUGUUUUAGGGCAUGCAGAAUUCCUCUCUGUCUAAAAACUGGUGUUUUUAUUUUACUUCGUUGUUUUCCUAGAUAAUUUUUUAAAAGGCGAGGAGGAUAGAUGGAGAAUUAAAUUUUAUGAAAUUUCGCAUGACCCCAAAUCACCCUAACUUAAUGUAUGUAUGUCUAGAAAAUACAAAUCACAAACCCUCCCAUAAAAAUAUUUCAACAAAGAGUCCCAUCAUUAAUCUAUAUUUUCUACUGGAUGAGAAUCUGGGUUGUUGUUGGUACUUAACUUUUAUAUAAAUCAUCAAACUCCAAGAAUUAAUUAACUGCUUGGUCAAUGAAAAUUGUGUGGUUUUAGGAAGUUGUCAUUUUUCAAUAGUACUUACUCCUAUUAUUAAGAGAGCACAUCAAAUUAGGAUAUAUGAACAAGGGCAGUUUUGGGGUGUUGUAACCAUCACACAUUUUCAAUACUAUUUUUGUCUGUUUGCCCAAACCAUCGGUGGUCAUUAGGAUUUGUAUGUGGAUUUUCUAGGUUCAAUCUAGAAAGACCAGGUGUUGAGAAUGCCAAGUUAAUCAGGACUCUUUUGUGAUGAUGAGACUAGGUAAGGGGCUUUGUAUCUGAACUGCCUUGUGACCUGACAAGUCUCAGUGAUCCAUGUGUCAUGUAGCUCCCUUCCAGUUCUCUGUGCCACAAAUGUAUGUGAAAGAAGGGUUCUGGAUUUCUGGAGUUCUGAUGUACUCUUUUCAUCUGGUCUUUGGCUCAGUAAAUAAUCUCCACCUGGAAGCAGAACUGAAUUGGGAAAAGAUUGUGAAGCGAAAAUGUUUUUUAUGAAUUACCUGCCAUUCUUCCUUCCAGCAACAGUGACCUGGGCAGUCUGACCCCAGAGCCUGUGCUCUCAACCACUCUGUUAUACUGUCUGAGAGUGCUUCAGAGUAUAGCUUGGUUUUAUGAGUGUUUGAUCUUAUCUUUGAAACUCUGGAGCCAGUUCAGUGCCAGGCACACAAUUGGAGCUCCAUAAAUGAAAGGCAAUAGUCAUUUGAUCAGAUUAACUAACUUCCACUGAUAUUUAGCUAACUUAUUCAUUCUGACAAAAAUGCCUCCAAAAUAUGGUGAUACGAUCUUUGCACAUAGGUGGAAGUUGAUGUAUUUUAUGAGAUUGGGUUAGGUGUUCAAAUAGUAUCAAUCACAGAGCUGUCCACUUUUGCUUAGUCUGAAAAUAACCUCUUUAUAGCAUAUUGCUCAUAAGUAAGCAGGGUCUUAGAUACAUAGAGUCUUAGUGUUAGAAGUUAGGUUAGUCCAACCACUUUCUUUUAAGAAUGUGUUAGGAGUUCCCUGGUGGCCUAGUGCUCAACAUCUUCAGUAUGGAGAAAAAGGGUUUGGAGGGCUUGGAGCACAAAUUGUUAGCUUUUAGAAUUGAUGGCCAAUGUCCCAUCUCUUGUCAGCCUUACCUCACAUGUCAAUGCCAGCAGGUAAUGGUGAUGGUCAGAGACAGAGCAGAUUUAGCACUGCAGAUGCUCUAGACACCUAUUUAUCAGUAAUUUGAGGACAUAAUAAGUACUCUCUCAGCUUGUUUAUCUUUCAAAAACAUUUAUAAAAAAUCAAAUGGGCAUUCCCGUCAUGGCGCAGCAGAAAUGAAUCCGACUAGGAACCAUGAGGUUGCAGGUUUGAUCCUUGGCCUUGCUCAGUGGGUUAAGGAUCCAGCGUUGCCAUGAGUUGUGGUGUAGGUCAAAGACGCGACUUUGAUGUGAUCUGGUGUUGCUGUGGCUGUGGCCUGCAGCUGUAGCUUAGAUUAGACCCCUAGCCUGGGAACCUCCAUAUGCCA